UAUACUUUCGUAUAUGAAGUACAUUAAUUUUUGAUAUUAAUAGUAAAAGUUUAAUUCUUUUAAGUAUAA
rnacentral:tRNA from 1 species